rnacentral:misc_RNA from 1 species
GAUGAAGAACGUAGCGAAAUGCGAUAAGUAAUGUGAAUUGCAGAAUUCAGUGAAUCAUCGAAUCUUUGAACGCACAUUGCGCCCGCCAGAAUGCUGGCGGGCAUGCCUGUUCGAGCGUCAUUUCAACCCUCAAGCUCUGCUUGGUGUUGGGGCCCUACGGUUGACGUAGGCCCUUAAAGGUAGUGGCGGACCCUCUCGGAGCCUCCUUUGCGUAGUAACUAACGUCUCGCAUUGGGAUUCGGAGGGACUCUUGCCGUAAAACCCCCAAAUUUUCUAAUGGUUGACCUCGGAUCAGGUAGGAAUACCCGCUGAACUUAAGCAUAUCAUAAGCGGAGGA